GCCACGUCCAGAGAAGCAAAAGAGAACAUCUCAUCCGGCAGCCCUCUUCUAGGAAUGAGGAAACUUUUCCCAGAAGCCCUCUAUGAGGGUCCCCGCACGUUUCUACAGACCCCUUGCUGAGAAAGGUCUGGUACAGGCUACUCUCUACACUUCAGCUGCUCCUUUCUGAUUCCCCGACUCGCCAAGCUUGUUUCUUUCUCCCGUCCUGUACUCUUGCUGCUCCUUCUCCCUGGCACACUGUGUCCCCUGAACGUCACAUGACUGGCUUCAUCUCAUCAUUCAAGUUUCAGCUGAGAUGUUACCUCUUCCUCAGAGAGAUUCUCCAUUGAAAAUUGAACCCCCCUCCUCCUCACUCUCUACCACA